rnacentral:rRNA from 1 species
GGUUACUGCUAUCGGUGUUCGCCUAAGCCAUGCGAGUCAUAUGUUCGUAAGAACAUGGCGUACUGCUCAGUAACACGUGGAUAACCUGCCCUUGGGUCCGGCAUAACCCCGGGAAACUGGGGAUAAUUCCGGAUAACGCACAUAUGCUGGAAUGCUUUUUGCGUAAAAUGGAUUCGUCUGCCCAAGGAUGGGUCUGCGGCCUAUCAGGUAGUAGUGGGUGUAAUGUACCUACUAGCCUACGACGGGUACGGGUUGUGAGAGCAAGAGCCCGGAGAUGGAUUCUGAGACAUGAAUCCAGGCCCUACGGGGCGCAGCAGGCGCGAAAACUUUACAAUGCGGGAAACCGUGAUAAGGGGACACCGAGUGCCAGCAUCCUAUGCUGGCUGUCCGGGUGUGUAAAAUACACCUGUUAGCAAGGGCCGGGCAAGACCGGUGCCAGCCGCCGCGGUAACACCGGCGGCCCGAGUGGUGAUCGUGAUUAUUGGGUCUAAAGGGUCCGUAGCCGGUUUGGUCAGUCCUCCGGGAAAUCUGACAGCUCAACUGUUAGGCUAUCGGAGGAUACUGCCAGACUUGGAACCGGGAGAGGUAAGAGGUACUACAGGGGUAGGAGUGAAAUCUUCUAAUCCCUGUGGGACCACCUGUGGCGAAGGCGUCUUACCAGAACGGGUUCGACGGUGAGGGACGAAAGCUGGGGGCACGAACCGGAUUAGAUACCCGGGUAGUCCCAGCCGUAAACGAUGCUCGCUAGGUGUCAGGCAUGGCGCGACCGUGUCUGGUGCCGCAGGGAAGCCGUGAAGCGAGCCACCUGGGAAGUACGGCCGCAAGGCUGAAACUUAA